UAUUGCACAAUGGGCGCAAGCCUGAUGCAGCCAUGCCGCGUGUGUGAAGAAGGCCUUCGGGUUGUAAAGCACUUUCAGUCAGGAGGAAAGGUUAGUAGUUAAUACCUGCUAGCUGUGACGUUACUGACAGAAGAAGCACCGGCUAACUCCGUGCCAGCAGCCGCGGUAAUACGGAGGGUGCGAGCGUUAAUCGGAAUUACUGGGCGUAAAGCGUACGCAGGCGGUUUGUUAAGCAAGAUGUGAAAGCCCCGGGCUCAACCUGGGAACUGCAUUUCGAACUGGCAAACUAGAGUGUGAUAGAGGGUGGUAGAAUUUCAGGUGUAGCGGUGAAAUGCGUAGAGAUCUGAAGGAAUACCGAUGGCGAAGGUAGCCACCUGGGUCAACACUGACGCUCAUUACGAAG
rnacentral:rRNA from 1 species